rnacentral:rRNA from 1 species
ACGCUGGCGGCGUGCCUAACACAUGCAAGUCGAACGAGAAAGUUCCUUCGGGAAUGAGUAGAGUGGCGCACGGGUGAGUAACGCGUGGGUAAUCUGCCCUUGGAUUUGGGAUAACUUCGCGAAAGUGGAGCUAAUACCGGAUAGUCUGGCUUUGUAAAAGGAGUCGGUAAAGGAUGCCUCUGCAUAUGCAUUCGUCCGAGGAUGAGCCCGCGUCUCAUUAGCUAGUUGGUAGGGUAACGGCCUACCAAGGCGACGAUGAGUAGCUGGUCUGAGAGGAUGAUCAGCCACACUGGGACUGAAACACGGCCCAGACUCCUGCGGGAGGCAGCAGUGGGGAAUAUUGCGCAAUGGGCGAAAGCCUGACGCAGCAACGCCGUGUGAGGGAUGAAGGUUUUCGGAUCGUAAACCUCUGUCAGAAGGGAAGAAGUGGUGCGGGUCCAACAGGCCCGUAUCUUGACGGUACCUUCAAAGGAAGCACCGGCUAACUCCGUGCCAGCAGCCGCGGUAAUACGGAGGGUGCAAGCGUUAUUCGGAAUUACUGGGCGUAAAGCGCACGUAGGCGGCCUUGUAAGUCAGGUGUGAAAUCCCACGGCUCAACCGUGGAACUGCACUUGAAACUGCGGGGCUCGAAUCCUGGAGAGGGCGGCGGAAUUCCUGGUGUAGGAGUGAAAUCCGUAGAUAUCAGGAGGAACACCGGUGGCGAAGGCGGCCGCCUGGACAGGUAUUGACGCUGAGGUGCGAAAGUGUGGGGAGCAAACAGGAUUAGAUACCCUGGUAGUCCACACCGUAAACGAUGGAUACUAGGUGUCGGGGACUUGAUCCUCGGUGCCGCAGUUAACGCGUUAAGUAUCCCGCCUGGGGAGUACGGUCGCAAGGCUGAAACUCAAAGAAAUUGACGGGGGCCCGCACAAGCGGUGGAGUAUGUGGUUUAAUUCGAUGCAACGCGAAGAACCUUACCUGGGCUUGACAUCCUGGGAAUUCCGCAGAGAUGCGGAAGUGCCCUUCGGGGAAUCCAGAGACAGGUGCUGCAUGGCUGUCGUCAGCUCGUGCCGUGAGGUGGUGGGUUAAGUCGCGCAACGAGCGCAACGCCUAUCCUCAGUUGCCAGCAGGUAAAGCUGGGCACUCUGUGGAGACUGCCCGGGUUAACCGGGAGGAAGGUGGGGACGACGUCAAGUCAUCAUGGCCCUUACGCCCAGGGCUACACACGUACUACAAUGGUGGGCACAAAGGGCAGCGAAACCGCGAGGUCCAGCCAAUCCCAAAAAACCCAUCAUAGUCCGGAUUGCAGUCUGCAACUCGACUGCAUGAAGUUGGAAUCGCUAGUAAUCCCGGAUCAGCAUGCCGGGGUGAAUACGUUCCCGGGCCUUGUACACACCGCCCGUCACACCACGAAAGUCGGUUCUACCCGAAGCCGCCAGGCUAACCCGCAAGGGAUGCAGGCGUCUACGGUAGGGCUGGUAAUUGGGGUGA